UACGAAGGGGCUAGCGUUGUUCGGAAUUACUGGGCGUAAAGCGCGCGCAGGCGGCUAUCCAAGUCAGUGGUGAAAGCCCGGAGCUCAACCUCCGAACUGCCAUUGAAACUGUUUUAGCUUGAGUAUGAGAGAGGUGAGUGGAAUUCCCAGUGUAGAGGUGAAAAUUCGUAGAUAUUGGGAGGAACACCAGUGGCGAAGGCGGCCCGCUGGGCAGUGGCUGACGCUGAGGCGCGACAGCGUGGGGAGCAAACAGGG
rnacentral:rRNA from 1 species